rnacentral:rRNA from 1 species
AAUCAACGCUGGCGGCGUGCCUCAGACAUGCAAGUCGAAACGCGAAACCUUCCUUCGGGAGGGAGUAGAGUGGCGCACGGGUGAGUAACACGUAGGUAAUUUGCCUUCGGGUGGGGAAUAACGAGCCGGAAACGGCUGCUAAUACCGCAUAAUGCAGCGGCUCGACAUCGAGACAGUUGUUAAAGCGGGGGAUUCGCAAGAACCUCGCGCCUGAAGAGAAGCCUGCGGCAGACUUAGCUAGUUGGUAGGGUAAUGGCCUACCAAGGCGACGAUCUGUAACCGGCCU